rnacentral:lncRNA from 1 species
CCAGCUGUGUGACCUCCAAAAACAUUGAAUAAGAGAGAGAGAGAGAGAGCUAGCAGAGCUUAUUUAGGUUUUUCCAUCCCAGUAUCACCAUUGGCACCAAAACCAGUUUCUACAUUUAGGAAACCAAAAGGUGCAGCCUACAAAAAGAAAAUAAACACUUAGCAGCUGGACGUGGUAGUGCAGGCCUUUAGUCCCAGCGUUAAGGAUGCAGAGGCAAGCAGAUCUCUGUGAGUUUGAAGCCAGCCUGGUCUACAGAUUGAAUCUAGGACAGCCAGGGCUACACAGAGAAACCCUAUCUAGGGAAAAACAAAAGAGAAGAAAAGAAAAAAAAAAAGAAAUGCUUAGCAGGACAGCUAGCAUCAUAAGCCCCAAACAUUGACCACAGUAUGAAAUAUCGAUGCUCUGAAAGCAAGAAAUGAGGUUAUAAACAUCAGAGGAGAACAGAGUCCACACAAAAAUCCACUAACAAUCAAAAGUUUCAAAUGCAUCAAUAAAAGCUAAGUAGAUGAGGCUGAGGAGAUGACCCAGAGUCUAAGAGAGUGAACCAUUCUUGGAGAACACUCCAAGUUCUGUUUCUAGCACCCACAAUGGGUAGCUUACAACUAUCUAUAGCUCCAGCGCUAGAGAUCAGAUGCCCACAGCAGGCACGCUCACUUGCACUGACCCACACACAGAUCCACAAAUACACACUUAGAUUCUUUAAGGUUGAUUUACUUUUCUGUGUUCAAGUGUUUUGUCUGCAUGUAUAUUUGUAACCUUCCCUCAGCCUGAAACUGGCUGAGCCAGAACUUGACUUUGCUGCCACUAAGGAGAUUAUCUAGGGUGGAGCCUUCCUCCCUAGAUCACUCUAUUGUUCAGCCACUGUCAACUGCUACCUGCUGAGAGCUAUUCCGGAGACUACACCCUAUCUUGCACAUCAUCACCUGCAGCUGGUUCCAAGCUCCAAGGAUGAAUUGGUGGGAAUGGGCCUCCCGCCUUUUUAUAAGCGCAGUCACCAUUAAACAUUUGAACCU